GAUGAAGAACGUAGCAAAAUGCGAUAAGUAAUGUGAAUUGCAGAAUUCAGUGAAUCAUCGAAUCUUUGAACGCACAUUGCGCCCGCUGGUAUUCCGGCGGGCAUGCCUGUUCGAGCGUCAUUUCAACCCUCAAACCCCCCGGGUUUGGUGUUGGGGAUCGGCUCUGCCUCACGGCGGUGCCGCCCCCGAAAUACAUUGGCGGUCUCGCUGCAGCCUCCAUUGCGUAGUAGCUAACACCUCGCAACUGGAACGCGGCGCGGCCAUGCCGUAAAACCCCAACUUCUGAAUGUUGACCUCGGAUCAGGUAGGAAUACCCGCUGAACUUAAGCAUAUCAAAAGCGGAGGA
rnacentral:misc_RNA from 1 species